GACGAACGCUGGCGGCGUGCUUAACACAUGCAAGUCGAACGAAGUGGCGAACGGGUGAGUAACGCGUAAUCAACCUGCCAUUCAGAGGGGGACAACAGUUGGAAACGACUGCUAAUACCGCAUACUGAAGGAGGGGAUUGAGUCUGAUUAGCUAGCUGGAGGGGUAACGGCCAACCAAGGCGAUGAUCAGUAGCCGGUCUGGGAGGGUGGACGGCCACAUUGGGACUGAGACGCCGCCCAGACGUCUACGGGAGUCAGCAGAGGGGAGACUUCCGCAAUGGACGAAAGUCAGACGGAGCAACGCCGCGUGAGAGAUGACGGCCUUCGGGUUAGAAAGCUCUGUUAAUCGGGACGCGGUACCGGAAUAGAAAGCCACGGCUAACUACGUGCCAGCAGCCGCGGUAAUUC
rnacentral:rRNA from 1 species